AGGACCAUCGAACCUCUGUCCCUCGCGUUCACUGGGUCUCAGUCGUCCAGAUCAGCUGCGGGGCGUUCGGUUUUCCUCCUCCUCCUCCGUUGUCAUAAAUUUUGAGAUGCCUCAAAGUGCUGCGGGAUAUAUACAUCGAAUUGGCCGUACUGGAAGAGCGUAUAACACUGGUGCAUCUGUCUCUCUGGUGUCCCCUGAGGAGAAUGACAUGUUUGAAGAUAUUAAAUCCUUCAUCGGUGAAAGUGAUAACGUGGACUCCAAUUUUAUAGCUCCAUUUCCAUUGCUCACUAAGAAUGCUGUGGAGGGCUUGAGAUAUAGAGCUGAGGUAAAUAUUGCCUUCCUUUAUUGCAUAGUAAGUUGUAACUUUUUGAACUUAUUAUGCGUUAAGCAUCUCUUUAUGCUUACUUUGCUUCUGUGGUUCUUAAAAAAACCCUAUGGCGUCUGCCUCGAGAUAUUGAAGCUGUUUUGUGCUGUGUUGCUGUUUUGCUCUGUGCUUUUUAGCCUAGAGUUGCUAUGUUGCUAUUUAUACGUACUGCUUCAGUUAGAGCUUUGCUUCUUCGGAUCGGUGUGAGGUUAUGUAUUAUUUUUUUGUUUUGACUCUAAAAAUUAUAUAUUAAUUGCCUUUUGUAGUUAAGCCACCGCACCUAAUUGCCUUAUCUGUUGCCAGCAUAAAUUUUUUUUUUAAACCGAAUUUGGAUGCUUACUGUUGCAUUAUCAACUUUUCAAUUCUGUUACACAUUUGGACUAUACUUUGUCAGUGUUGCAGGGUGUUAGCCUAAACCUCCGGGUUGCUGAUGCUCUUGAUGGAAAGGAAUUGUUGUGCUAUGUUAUACGUGCUCCUGAUUUUAUUAGAGUAACUGGAAUCAGGUUUACGAUUGUUACGGCUUACUGGGUUGGAGAAGCUGCAUCUGUGGCCGUGUCAAAUGUGCCUUUCCUGAUGUGACAUGCCUCUUUCCGGCAUCAUCUCUACCUUAGAAGUUGCCGAAUUAGUAUUUUCUCUGAAAUAUAUUUUCCCCAUGCUUUCCUUCAAAUACGUUUUUAUUCUCAGGUUUUUUCUUCAUUAUUUUUUUUUACUUUCUGUGGUGAUGAUUCAUGAUUUCAAGCAUGAAUUCGUCAUGAUUUACUUGUAAUUUAUGCACAUACAAUUCAAUAAGGAUUUCAAAGGUUAUGUGGCUAUGAAUGACCAUUUAGCUGUAGUUUGCCUAUUUUGAUUGUGGAACGGAUUGUCCGUGUAAUUUAUUUACCUUACUUUUACUCAACAGAAAGAACUUGCUCAACUUGUGAAUGUGAAAGACAUAUGAGCACACAAUCUGGCGGAAUGGAACAGUAUUAUUCGUCUUCAUUCCAAUGGGAGCUCGCUGCUCUAAAUUAGGCUUUUGCUGGUGGCCUUCUAACCUCAAAUCCAACAUCGCUUGUUCCUUUGAUUUUGAGCAAUGUGGAGAAAAUGAGACUAUGAAACUGCCAUCAUUUAAAGAAUGCAGUUUACAU